AACGAACGCUGGCGGCAGGCCUAACACAUGCAAGUCGAACGCCCUAGCAAUAGGGAGUGGCGCACGGGUGCGUAACGCGUGGGAAUAUGCCCUUGACUGCGGGACAACGUCGGGAAACUGACGCUAAUACCGCAUAAUGUCUUCGGACCAAAGAUUUAUCGGUCAAGGAUUAGCCCGCGUCUGAUUAGCUAGUUGGUGAGGUAACGGCUCACCAAGGCGACGAUCAGUAGGGGGUCUGAGAGGAUGAUCCCCCACACUGGGACUGAGACACGGCCCAGACUCCUACGGGAGGCAGCAGUGAGGAAUAUUGGACAAUGGGCGCAAGCCUGAUCCAGCCAUGCCGCGUGAGUGAUGAAGGCCCUAGGGUUGUAAAGCUCUUUCAACGGGGAAGAUAAUGACGGUACCCGCAGAAGAAGCCCCGGCUAACUUCGUGCCAGCCGCCGCAGUAAUAC
rnacentral:rRNA from 1 species